CUUCUUGGCAUACCAGAUAGAGGCAAACAUAGCGAUGCCAAUGGAAGGAAUUCGCAGCGAAGCUGCUGCACAAUCAACUUCCCACCUCGGCUCAGAGACCAACGGAAUCGGGCUGGAGCUGUCACUUGCAGGCUGUUGCUUUCUCAGUUCCUCUCAUGCUGGUUAGCAGAGGGAGAGGGUGGGAGGAGGGAGGAGGCUGGGGGGAAGGCAAUCCCGUUUGGCCAGUCCGCAGGUACGUUUACAUCCUGCCAGCAGGAGGUCCGGGUGAGGCGGGCGGGCGCUGCCUUCCCAGCCAGCUCACACACAUCCAGGCGGUGAAGUAUCUGUCUGCGGUGCUCCGGCUCCGUCACCACAAAAACUCCAUGUGUGUCAGGAGCAAGGGAAGGCGCAGUCAAGUCGUCCGGGAGGCGGCUCACCUCCCGCUCUCGGCUCCCGCAGCCGCUCUCCUCGCUUGGCUUCCCGCUGCCUUGACGAGUUUUCCUAUAGUGAUAUCCAGUGUUAAAAGGAAGAUUGGAAUGUCACUUUUGAAAAGGUAGAUUCAUGGCAGCUCUUAAACCAUGCUCCUCUGAAGAAUUCUCACAUGUGAUUUUACCACCAUGUGCUUCCAAUUUCAAUUAUCUUAUUAGGGUUUAGACUAUUAUUGAGGCAUUUUAAAGGUGAAGUCAAUUUUAAGAGACCAAUAUUUUCUCCAAGAGAGAUAGUGUCUCAACCUUUGCCCGUCCUACUAGAAGACAAAAAAUUAAACUGCUCAUCUCAGCAAGGAAAAUCUUCCUGCCAUUGCUAUACAAAUGAAACUCAAUCAAGUAAAUGUUUUCCAGCUGACCUGAUGGAUGUGCCCUAGAAGCACCUCUUGACCAAAGAAUGCCAUCACACAGAUAAUUGGAAAAGAACUUCCUUCUCUCACUCUAAGUCACUUGAGGUUUACCCUCAAAGAGGAUUGGGUCUUCAGUCAACAGAAUGCUGGUUUAUAAAGUUCACUGAAUAUCCUUGUAAACAACUGGAGGGAGACAGCAGCAGUGUGGGAUCAGGACCCAUGUCCAUGUUACUGACUAAAGGAACCCUGAUGCCUGGAACAAUGUUUAGCACAAUGAAUUCAAUGUAUGUUUGUUGAAUGAAUGAAUAACCUGGGUUCUAACCCUGGCUUGGUUUCUAGAUGGUUUCUUUAUUUUCUCUGAGCUAGAUUUGCCUCAUCUGGGAAUUCAGAAGAUUGGGCAGAAGAUUUUGAGAGCCCCUUCCUGCCCAAUGAGUCUAUGUUCUGAUUCUGGGUCUGUGGGUCUUCAUGUGAGUAUUGAACAGAAAUGUCUAGUGCUCACCAAGGCAUAGCUCUGAUAAAAUGACCUCGGGCUCUGAAAAGCAAACUGUGGCACCCUUGGGGCAGGCCUGAUUCUUCUACCUUUUUCAACAUGCCAAAUGGCCACCUGGGGCUUGGUUUUGCCAUUAGCUGUUAUUUUUGCUGUGUGUUCUCACUUCCUACGAACUCUGCUUUCCUUUAAUUUCCUUUUGACACUCCUAGACAACCCCUGUGCAAAAUUCUCCAUGUCGCACCUUGUACUCUUUGGAAGAAAAGUGCCACAGAAACCCCAAAAAUAAAUAAAUGAUAACUCCUGCUUAGUGUUCAAAGAGCCACUCAGCAGGACCAUAGCUUACCCCAAUAUUGCUAUGAUGUGAAAGGUAUUUAUUAUUCCCACAUAGAAUUUGUCUAAGCCAUGUUAAAAGACUAUUCAGUUAACAGAAUAAAGUAGAUAAAAGGGGGGGAACCAUUCAUCCAUAAAUUAAUGAGUGGAGAUUUCUAUUUUUAACAUUUUAAGAUGGAAUCUGGCAAUAAAGAGGUGAGAAAACAAUAGUGAGCUUUCAAAUAACAUAGGGGAAAUCAAAGAAUGUUAAUUUACUCUGAUGGGGCUGCCAGAUCAUAAAAUAAUUUUUACACUUUCUUCGUUUAGAUUUCCAAAGUCACUAAAACUGGGGCUUGGAGCGAUCUUUGAUGCUUGAUCAUUUUGUUGAUUGGUUUAGCUCUAAAUUGAACCUUUAAUUAUUUACACACCUGGCCAGAGGCUUUAUAAACUUUUGUAGGAUGGAGUUCUUAAAAAAAUAGAUUGGGCCUACCAGUUAAGAUUUAACUUUAAACAUAGCAAUAAUAACUACUGCUCCUUAAAUAGAUAUUUGGAGAGAGAAAGUGUGGAAUAGGUCAUUUGUAGUCACGAUCCAUGCUCAUGUUAUGCAAAUGCUUAGCACAGUGUAAGUACUCAAAAUAUAUUUUUUGAAUGUGUCUAUGGAAAAGUAAGAGAAUCCACCAACUUGGAAAGUCUAGAAGAGUCAAUAGAAGCAUACCCACAUAUUUUCAAUUGUAAAAGUUUUCUUAAAGAUGGGUGUCAUGUCAGUGGAAUGAAGCCAUUGCCAUGGUUAUAUAACUAUCUUCACUGGGCUCUCUCUGGGCAGGUGUGCCUGCUACAAAAAGGUAGCAGCUGCCUGCAGUAAAUCCUAAUGGUCUCUAACCAUUGCUCUGUUGAUUGAGAUAAAUAACUUUUGCAGCUCUGCCAUGUAUGGAAAACAAGUUUUUGAGACGCUUUCCAUCUGUGUAUCAUCAAUACCUGGGCAGAACUUUUCCUUUAUAAUUUCACUUUUAAUAUCUCUCAUAUGACAGAAGCCUACCAGUGCAGCUGAGUUUGAGAUGCAACAUUAAUCCUUUUAAGCAGCUUUUGGUUCAUGCCUCAACACACACACUGUGUGAGGCUCCUCUGAAUUCUCACGGUAAAAUGCAAUAUUUAAAUCAAGCCAUUAAGAAUUAUACAGCUACAUUUUCUGUCUAGCACACAAGUGAUUUCCUUUUAAAAAUCAUCUAAAUAUAUCAUAGACAUUUAUAAAAACAGUAAAUAUUAAACCCUAAAAACUAAUAUCUGGUAGCUUGAAAAUCUAUCUAGUUUUGGUGUAUAAUAUAUACCAAAGAAAAUACAUGUUUGUAACAUAAAAAUAUCAAUGUACAAAACCAAUAAACAUUUAAAUAUUU
rnacentral:lncRNA from 1 species